AUUUUAGAAAACUAAAAUAACCAAUAUUAGUUAUAAGUUGCAAUUUAUGAUUUUAUGCAUAAUUAUUAUUUAUAUACACAGAUCCUUAUCAUAGUCCUAUCAGUGUGUUUUUUUUUUGUUUUGUUUUUAAUUGAUACUCACAUCUCCUUUUAAAGAAUUGUUUGCACUAAAGACUUGAAUUCUCAAUAAAUUAUUUGCACCAAAAUGGUCUAAUAUUAGACCUGAUCAGGCCAAAUUCUUACCCACCUAUGUCAAAAUCCCUGAGAUUAUUUAUUUAUUAUCAUUAUUAUUAUAUAUUUUUGGGUGGUACAUGGAAUGGCCCCGCAACCCAUGUAAGGGAGAGAUUUGAAUUCAGCCUUUAAUUGUUCAUCCGACCAUGGAACUAUAUUACGCACCAAGCACGAAAAAAAUUUCUCUGGUUUUUUAAAAUACAAAAGAGAAAAAAAAAAAUCCCGCCUCCAAAAUAUCACAAGUAGUUUGAAAUUUAAAAAGGACGCCAACCAUUUAUACUCGUAUACACGCAGACACCAUUGAUAAAAUUCUCAAGCAGUUGAAGCAACAGAGAAAUCUGACGCAGUGGACAAAAUCGAGACGCAGAGAGUCGGUGCGACAGUGAAAUCUGAAGGGCACUGUAGACAAAAUCGAGGUAGACAUAAUGACAGAACCUGUGGUAAAUCCCCAAGAAUGGUUUGCCUGUGCCGGGAGGAUGGCGCAGGUGCCCUCAGUCGGAUCAAAAGUUUUUUAUUACCCUCAAGGGCACGCCGAGCACGUUUGUGCUCUAUAUCGGGCGAUUGAAGGAGUUCCAACUAUGAUUUGUUGUCGAGUGUUAGCUGUGA